AACGUAGGACGCGAGCGUUUAUCCGGAGUUACUGGGCGUAAAGCGCGGGCAGGCGGUCUGACAAGUCUGAUGUGAAAUCUCCGGGCUUAACCGGGAGAGGCCAUUGGAAACUGACAGGCUGGAGGGCAGUAGAGGUAGGCGGAAUUCCGGGUGGAGUGGUGAAAUGCGUAGAGAUCCGGAGGAACACCAGAGGCGAAGGCGGCCUACUGGGCUGCACCUGGACGCUGAGCCGCGAAAGCCAGGGGAGCGAACGGG
rnacentral:rRNA from 1 species